rnacentral:rRNA from 1 species
GUAAGUUAAGUGGGAAAGGAUGUGGGAUUUCUAAGACAACUAGGAUGUUGGCUUAGAAGCAGCCACUCAUUUAAAGAGUGCGUAAUAGCUCACUAGUCGAGAGAUCCUGCGCCGAAGAUGUAACGGGGCUCAAACUUACCACCGAAGCUAUGGAUGUGUACUUUGUACACGUGGUAGAGGAGCUUUCUGUACAGGUUGAAGUCAUACCGUAAGGAGUGGUGGACAGUACAGAAGUGAGAAUGCUGGCAUAAGUAGCGAAAAACAAGUGAGAAUCUUGUUGACCGAAUAUCUAAGGUUUCCUGGGGAAGGCUCGUCCUCCCAGGGUUAGUCGGGACCUAAGCCGAGGCCGAAAGGCGUAGGUGAUGGACAACUGGUUGAUAUUCCAGUACCACCAUAAUGCGUUUGACAAAUGGGAUGACGCAGGAGGAUAGGAUGUGCGCACUAUUGGAUGUGCGUCUAAGCACUUAGGGUGUUAAGUAGGCAAAUCCGCUUAACAUUAAGCCUGAGGUGUGAUGGGGAGCCUAUUUUGGCGAAGUAUCUGAUUCCACGCUGCCAAGAAAAGUCUCUAUGGAGCAAAAUGGUGCCCGUACCGCAAACCGACACAGGUAGAUGAGGAGAGAAUCCUAAGGUCGUCGGAAGAAUUAUUGCUAAGGAAC